AGAGUUUGAUCAUGGCUCAGAACGAACGCUGGCGGCAGGCCUAACACAUGCAAGUCGAGCGCUCUCUUCGGAGGGAGCGGCGGACGGGUGAGUAACGCGUGGGAACGUGCCCUUCUCUAUGGAAUAGCCACUGGAAACGGUGAGUAAUACCAUAUACGCCCUUCGGGGGAAAGAUUUAUCGGAGAAGGAUCGGCCCGCGUUAGAUUAGGUAGUUGGUGGGGUAAUGGCCUACCAAGCCUACGAUCUAUAGCUGGUUUUAGAGGAUGAUCAGCCACACUGGGACUGAGACACGGCCCAGACUCCUACGGGAGGCAGCAGUGGGGAAUCUUAGACAAUGGGCGCAAGCCUGAUCUAGCCAUGCCGCGUGAGUGAUGAAGGCCUUAGGGUCGUAAAGCUCUUUCGCCAGAGAUGAUAAUGACAGUAUCUGGUAAAGAAACCCCGGCUAACUCCGUGCCAGCAGCCGCGGUAAUACGGAGGGGGUUAGCGUUGUUCGGAAUUACUGGGCGUAAAGCGCACGUAGGCGGAUUAGAAAGUUGGGGGUGAAAUCCCGGGGCUCAACCUCGGAACGGCCUCCAAAACUCCUAGUCUAGAGUUCGAGAGAGGUGAGUGGAAUUCC
rnacentral:rRNA from 1 species